AUUGAACGCUGGCGGCAGGCCUAACACAUGCAAGUCGAACGAGGGGCGGACGGGUGUGUAGUGCUUGGGAAUCCCGCUUAUGGGGGGGUAUCACUACGGGAAACUGUAUCUAAUACCACGUACCAUAGUGUGAUCCCAAGUGGGAUUAGGUAGGUGGUGGGGUAAAGUCUCCCCAAGCCGACGAACUCUAUCUGGUCUGAGAGGAUGACCAGCCACACUGGGACUGAGACACGGCCCAGACUCCUACGGGAGGCAGCAGUGGGGAAUAUUGCGCAAUGGGGGCAACCUGACGCAGCCAUGCCGCGUGAAUGAAGAAGGCCUUCGGGUUGUAAAGUUCUUUCAGUAGAGAGGCGUUAACUGCAGAAGAAGCACCGGCUAACUCCGUGCCAGCAGCCGCGGUAAUAC
rnacentral:rRNA from 1 species